rnacentral:rRNA from 1 species
UGAAACUGCGAAUGGCUCAUUAAAUCAGUUAUAGUUUAUUUGAUAGUACAAUUACUACUUGGAUAACAGUGGUAAUUCUAGAGCUAAUACAUGCUAAAAGUCUCGACUUCUGGAAGGGACGUAUUUAUUAGAUAAAAACCAAUAA